ensembl:lncRNA
GUGGGUUGCCAUUUCCUUCUCCAAUGCAUGAAAGUGAAGUCACUCAGUCGUGUCUGACUCUUAGAGACCUCAUGGACUGCAGCCUACCAGGCUCCUCCAUUCAUGGGAUUAGGCAAGAGUACUGGAGUGGGGUGCCAUUGCCUUCUCUGAACAACCUUGCUGCUGCUGCUGCUAAGUUGCUUCAGUCGUGUCCGACUCUGUGCAGCCCCAUAAACAGCAGCCCACCAGGCUCCCCCGUCCCUGGGAUUCUCCAGGCAAGAACACUGGAGUGGGUUGCCAUUUCCUUCUCCAAUGCAUGAAAGUGAAAAGUGAAAGUGAAGUCGCUCAGUCGUGUCCAACUCUUAGCGACCCCAUGGUCGCUUCUCCAUCCAUGGGAUUUUCCAGGCAAGAGUACUGGAGUGGGGUGUCAUUGCCUUCUCCGAACAACCUUGCUAGUUGGGUUCUAUUGAUGUCAGCUUCAAUUUGUAAAUGAGGAGACACAGGUUUAGAGAGUGUAAGUAAUUCCGUAACAGCUUGUGAGUGGUAGAAGCUGGUGUUUAAACCCAACCAUUCUGUUCCUGGAGUCUAUGCUCUUAACCACCACGUUCUGCUGAACUUCAUUGAAUAAAUUACCCCUAAGUCCUUUCCCUUCAAGAACAAGUGAGCUAGAUUAAUUUUUUAAAGUAGGAAGAUUAAAAGUAUUUAGGCCUGGGGUGAGCAAAUGAAGUACUAUAGGCCAAAUAUGGUGAGGCCCACAAGCUAAUAAUUUUUUUUUCAAGUGGUUGAAAAAAAUUUUAAAUAAUAUUUUGAGACACGUUAAAAUUAUAUACAAUUCAAAUUUUAAUCUCCACCAUUAAAGUUUUAUUGGAACACAAGUAUAUCCAUGUAUGUGUCUCUAGGCCCAUUUUGUGCUAUAGGAGCAAUGCUGAAUAAUUGCGAGAGAGACCCUACAGCCUCCUAACCCUAAAAUAUUUACUAUCUGACACUUUGCAGGAAAAGUUUGCUGAUCCCCUACUAUAACCAAAAACUGGCAAAUGAACAGAAGUAGAUUUAAGAGCUUGAAUUCCUCAGGAAUGUUGUUGUCCUCACCCCUCCUCUCAGUGCCUGGAGGGACCGCUUCCACGCCUGCACUGCAUUAGGAGGUGGGAUGGGCGUGGGGAGGAAAGAAACCUCUGACCCAGUUGCUGCUGCUGCUAAGUCGCUUCAGUCGUGUCCGACUCUGUGCGACCCCAGAGACGGCGUUCGUUGCAUUUCCUGGGUGGAGGAGGAAGGUGAAAGGAUGCUCGCAGAGACCAACAACCAUCUCUUCCUGCCACUUUGAAUUAGACUUCUCUGGAUAUCUCAGAUUCCACGUGGUAGCAAAGAGAAACCAGGAUGUGAGUGCCUAUGGCUGGCAUCUCAGGCUCCAUCAAUUCUUUUUAUCUUUUCAUUGAGAAAGAUGUAAAAAGAGGGCAUGCAAUAGAGGAAGGGUCUUAAAAGAUGGACUGCCAUUUAUCAACCCAAGAGAGCUGAGACCCACAAUUCAACAAUAUGCUGUUUUCAUGAGUGGCUCCCCUGGUUGGCAUGAUACCACAAAGCACUAUGGAAUGCCAAACACCCAAUUCUUUGGAUUAAAAGCACAAGUGUGUUAGUCACUCAGUCGUGUCCAACUCUUUACUACCUCAUGGACUUUAGCCUGCUAAGCUCCUCUGUCCAUGGGAUUUCCCAGGCAAGAAUACUGGAGUAGGUGGCCGUUCCCUUCUCCAGGGGAUCUUCCAGACCCAGGGAUCAAACCUGCAUCUUCUGCGUUGUAGGGGGAUUCUUUAUUGUCUGAGAAGGAUAGCCUAUUUAUUUAUGUGCUUGGUGCUUGACCGAUUUGGGUUUAAUUUUUAAUAUGUUUUUAUUGAUUUUUUUGUUUUUUUUUAAUAUAAAAUUUUCACAUAUUAUAGUCUGUUAUAUUUAUAUUCAUACAA